UAUGUAGAUAUCUAAGUUCUCGUUGAUUCGAGUUCCAAAGAAGGUUUAAGACCUGUAAGGUAUCUAACAUUGUGUCAAUUGGUUUAUUCUUACGAGUCGGGUUGUUUGGAAACGCAGCCCAAAGWAGGUGGUAAACUCCAUCUAAAGCUAAAUAUAACCGUGAGACCAAUAGUAAACAAGUACCGUGAGGGAAAGUUGAAAAGCACUCUGAAGAGAGAGUUAAAAGAACGUGAAAACGAUUAAGUGGAAGCAAACAGGUCUAUUGAAAGAUGUAUAGUUUUCUAUGCAUCUGCUAAUACAUAUGUGGAGUUUCUAUUAUUCUAUUUUAAGAGGACUCUAUAUGAGAACCCUUAUGAUGGUUGAACGUUAUCUCCCUAUAUGAAUAUUAGCAUUUAUGAUAGUUACCUGUUUGACCCGUCUUGAAACACGGACCAAGAAGUUUAUUGUAUACGCGAGUCAUUAAGUGUUAAAACUUAUUGGCAUAAUGAAAGUAAAGGUUCAUUCGUUGAGCUGAUGUAUGAUAAAGUGUUUACGGACAUUUUAGCAGUACAGUCCUAUUCUUAUGGCUUGCCAUGGAGUGGAGAUAGAGCGUAUGCAAUGAGACCCGAAAGAUGG
rnacentral:rRNA from 1 species